rnacentral:rRNA from 2 species
AAAUUGAAGAGUUUGAUCAUGGCUCAGAUUGAACGCUGGCGGCAGGCCUAACACAUGCAAGUCGAGCGGUAGCACAGAGAGCUUGCUCUCGGGUGACGAGCGGCGGACGGGUGAGUAAUGUCUGGGAAACUGCCUGAUGGAGGGGGAUAACUACUGGAAACGGUAGCUAAUACCGCAUAACGUCGCAAGACCAAAGUGGGGGACCUUCGGGCCUCAUGCCAUCAGAUGUGCCCAGAUGGGAUUAGCUGGUAGGUGGGGUAACGGCUCACCUAGGCGACGAUCCCUAGCUGGUCUGAGAGGAUGACCAGCCACACUGGAACUGAGACACGGUCCAGACUCCUACGGGAGGCAGCAGUGGGGAAUAUUGCACAAUGGGCGCAAGCCUGAUGCAGCCAUGCCGCGUGUGUGAAGAAGGCCUUCGGGUUGUAAAGCACUUUCAGCGGGGAGGAAGGCGGUGAGGUUAAUAACCUCA